UUCAGGUUUCCCCCGCAAAAUGUAAGUAUGGUACAUAGAAGUGUGAAUAAAAUUACAAUGUGAGCGACAUGUGGAUUUUACCACAUUUUGGAUAUAUCAUUUCAGUACGAAGUAUGUUCUUCCAAUGGAAAACGUAGACGCACAAAAUAUCGGUUUUGCAACAGAGCACUCCGUCCACAACAGGAUGAUAUCCAGAAUGAACCUUCUGAAUCUGAAGCUUCUCCAUAGAAGGUUGAUGUGAAUUUCAACUUAAAUACAAUUUCAAAGGGCGAAUCUUCAUUCGAUGAUGAAGAAAAUGAUGCUACUUACCAUCCUUCUGCAAAUGACUUUUCCUCGGAAAUCUCCAGUUGUUCGCCACAACUUAUGUGCACACCACCAUCUUCAGAGAGUUCGCCGAGAGAAGAAAUUGUAUCGGCCAUAUGGUCCGAUCAAAAAGAGGAAUCGCCCAUAUGUGCCGGACAAGAGUCCGAAUCAGUGGAUAUGGACAUCAAUGUACCCUCUAAAAAGAGCGUAUUCUGUGCAUUUUGAAUCCACCGUCUAUAACUUUCCACGUCAUUUAGAAAGAAACCACCAAAGUGAACUCGAAGUUCAACAACUACUUGUUCUGCCAACAAAGAGUAAAGAAAAAAAAAUGUUUUCUCUCAGAAAAAAGGGGAAUUAUCUAAUGAGCUCACAAAAGACGAUACCUGUAAGAAAAGGUGAUAUAACCACAAAUUAUUUGCCGUGAGAAUACUGUCUGGGCUUUUAUUCUUCUAAAUAUUUAUGGAGACAUAAAAAAUUAUGUAUUGAUAAUCCAACCAAAGGUAGUUCUCAAAAAAAUUGCAAAUCUAUCGCACAGAACCAUCUACAGCGUCAUAUAAAAGUGGACGCAAGAUUAAGAGCUGAAGUAUUUCCCCGUAUGCGAGCUGAUGAGAUAUCACUCACAGCAAAAAAAGAUCCUCUUAUUUGUGCGUUCGGAGCCCGAUAUCUCAAAACUCACAGAGAAAAACAUUUGGUUCUGGUCGCCUCGAGAAAGAUGAGGGAAUUAGCUCGACUACUGAUUGAAAUAAAAAAAAAUUUAAACAUCUAUCAAGGAUCUAUUUAAAGCGCUCAAACCAGAAAACUAUGAUGUUCUGGUAUCAGCCACUGAGACUAUCUCGAGGUAUGAUACAAAUAGCCAACGAUUUGCAUCUCCCACGCUUGCUCUAAAUAUGGGCACCACUCUGAAACAGCGUUGCGAUAUAGCUUCGCUUCUUACAAAAAAAAAGUAUUUUUUUCCAUCAGUACAAACAGGUAAUGUCGAAUCUGAGAUACGAACAUUAAUACAGUUAAUUGAAGGAAAUUAGAAGUUUGAUGUGUCAAGCCAAGCAGCAAACGAUUUGAAGGUUAAGAAAAUUUACUGUCGACUAGUUUUACUGAAUAGACGACGACCUGGGGAAUUUCAACGACUUCCCUUAGAAACUUUCAAAACUGCAUUAGAAAAUAAUAACUGUCAGAGGUAUGAAGAAUUUUCUGAAGCAAUUUCAGAAAAUGAAAUUUCUAAUGAAUAAAUUCAAACGAAUUGUGAUUAGAGGAAAAAGAGGUACCUCCUAAGCCAAGAUGUUCAAGAGCACUUAAAUAUAAUUUUGUCGUAUUGAGACAAUUUUGUCAAAAAACCGAAUGAUCAUCUUUUCGCAAAUCCGUUCACUGGUAAACCUAUUAUAGGUUACAAAAUAUAUUGAAACCAGAGGAUAACAUAGAACAAAGACGAACAGAUUUAUCUGAGGAAAAUAAUAUCGAAGAUGUAAUUGAAGACAUUCUCCUGAUAUAUCCAAAAAGCAACCCCAAAAAUCUCAAAAAAGGAGAAAAAAAGAGUUCUCAUUCCUUGGACAACUUCAGAAAAGAAAGUUGUUCUCGAAUACUUUGAAACUCAUAUAAAGAAUAAAAGACCUCCAAAGAGGGGAGAGUGUGACGACCUGAUUUCAAAAAAUAAGGAACUAUUUAAAAAUAGGAAUUGGCUCAAAAUAAAAGUGUUUGUUCAAAAUCAAUACAAAAAGGAAUGAAAAAGUCGAUAACACUGAUAAUUUUUUUUGGUUGAUAUUUUUUGCUCAUGUUCGAUCUCCUGAUUUUUUUUUUCAUAAUAUGUUUAGUUUUUUUUUAAUGUUACGUACAUGAAGUUAUCUUUCAUUUUGUGCAAGAAAUCAGUUUUCACACAUCAAAGUGCAUUAAUCAAUUUCCUAACAACUCAACCACUUCAUCCCAGUGCGUUCGAGAGAUCCCAAAUCGAAAGGUAGCAACGCAUUACUGAUAUAGUGGUUAGUCAUCGAGUAAUAGUUGAAUUAAUAAUUCGCGGAUGUCGGGUGUGGUAGUCAAUAUCAUUGUACAGUUGGUUAUAGUUAAAUCAAUUUUCAAUGAUUUAACAUUUCACGGAUUAAAAUUAUUCAUUAACACGUGUAAUAGUCGAUUUCGUUUUUGUCUAUAUUUCUCGUCCAUGCCUAGAUAACCGAACCAAACUAUAAUAAUCAAUGUCAUUCCUGGAUAUACAGGUUUUUCAGAGAUCCUCACUUAGUUCUGCCUUCAAACACAAAUUAGGAUAAGAGAG